rnacentral:misc_RNA from 1 species
UCGAGCGUCAUUAUCAACCAUCAAGCCCAGCUUGCUAUUGGGUGCCGUCCCCCGUGGACGCGCCCUAAACACCUCGGCGGCGGUUUCAAACCUCAAGCGUAGUAAAUCUUUCAGCUUUUCAGGGAUGAGACUGCUCUGCCUCUAGAACACCACAUCUUAAGGUUGACCUCGGAUCAGGUAGGGAUACCCGCUGAACUUAA